ACUACAGAUGGAGCACCUGCGAUGCGUGGAGGAAAAUCAGGCUUGGUUGGACGAGUGAAGGAGAAAUUGCAAGAAAGUAACUGUCACACGCCCCUGAUAACCUAUCACUGCAUUAUCCAUCAAGAAGCUCUGUGUGGAAAGGUUCUGGAGCUGGAUAAUAUAAUGACCACGGUCAUGAAAACAGUGAACUUUAUUCGAGCGCGCGGCCUGAAUCACCGGCAGUUCCAGCUGCUCUUGCAGGAGAUGGGCUCGGAGCACGGAGAUGUGCCGUACCACACAGAAGUAAGGUGGCUGAGCAGGAGCAAAGUCCUCAAACGAUUUUUUGAGCUGAGGGAAGAAAUUGGUUUUUUCAUGCAGAGCAAAGGAAAACCGUUGCCUGAACUAUCAGAUCCAAACUGGCUGUGUGACUUUGCUAUGUUGUGCGACAUAACCGUGCAUCUCGCUCAUCUGAAUGAGAAACUCCAGGGACGUAAACAAGUCAUCACACAGAUGUCCGACAUGAUCACAGCUUUCCAGCGAAAACUCGAUCUAUGGAAGUGUCAGGUGGAACAGGACAAUCUCGCCCACUUUCCUGUUUGUCAAGCAUCUCAGCCUCCAUUCCCGGUGCUUUUUCAUGUUCUCGGUUGGCUACCAAACUGAACCGGUUAAUGUGUGAGUUUGAUCUGCGCUUCUCUGACUUUAAAGCGCAGCAAUCUGGUUUUGACAUUUUUACAAAUCCUUUCACCACCGACGUCUGUAGUGCACCCCAUCACCUUCAGAUGGAGUUAAUUGAGCUUCAAAGUGACAGUGGCCUGAGAGCAAAGUUCCAGGAUUCUGCAAUCGAGGACUUUUACCGUCUCCUGCCCCCUGGUUUGAUGCCACAGCUCCGACUUCAUGCUGCUCGUGUUCUGUCCAUGUUUGGGAGCACCUAUCUGUGCGAACAGAUGUUUUCAAUAAUGAAUGUAAACAAGACCAAGCACAGAUCACGCAUCACCGAUGACAACCUGCACGCUGUUUUGCGGAUUGCCUCAGCACAAGACCUAAAACCAGACAUUGACACCCUGACCAACGGAAAACGGUGCCAGACAUCCGGCCAGAAAAAAUAGAACAUGAUGAUCAAGAUGAAUGAGGAUGUGUGAGAUGGCGUCUCAGGAUGAGGAGGGAUCUACUUGUGUGUUCAAGGACAGGCAGCAUUUUGUUUUGAAAAAUGCUGCUUCUUUCAUAUGUUGGUUGUGCCAUAGUCCUACCCCCCUUUGACUUGAAUACAUAAUAAAUACAGAAACAGUUAUCUAACAAUAUAAUAA